AAAUCCGCGCAGUCCAACGGACAGGGUUUACGUUGGUAUCUUGUACAUUAGGAGGUUUCACGCGCAGAAUCAGAGUGGUAUAGUGGUUUAGAACGUUUAGGAUGUUUAGAGCGUUUAGAAUGUUUAUCUGUUGCAAAUUUAGGAUUAAAAGUUGUUUAUAACGCUAUAGAAAUACUUAUUUAUUUGCUUAAAUACAGUUUUUGUUUUGUUUUGUUUACGUAUCGGUUUCGAAUUUGCCCUCGCUUUCUGGGCGUUUGGUUCAACGUAUUCACAUUCACAAUCGGCGUGGAUUUCCAUCUGUGUCGUGAGAUCUUGCAUUUGACAAAGUCGAUGUUGAUUCGCAUGUCCAGUACCUCUUGAACAAUGUGGAUGCAUUCCAGCUGGCAGAUUGUAUUCAGUACAUCUUUGCACGUGUGGGGCAACUCACAGGAAUGUAUCGCUACAAGUACAAAGUGAUGAGGCAGAUAUGGAUGUGCAAAGAUCUUAAGCACCUAAUCUGCUAUUGCUUCAAUACUGUGAUGCGUGAUAUUGCAGACAUGAUGCCUGAAGGAAUCACACAGAAUGAAGCCAGAACCAUUCAUCAGUAUAUCUCAGCUGUUUCAAUGAAUUGUUCUUGUUUUUGUUCUUUUAUUUAAAAUUCAAGCAGAUCCAGAUACAGGUUGAGAAGUAGAUUCACAAACCAUUGGAUAUACAAGGGUAAGUCAAUAAGUAAGUUACAAAUGCAUGUAGUAGAACUUAAACAAAUAAGAGUACUGAUCUGAAAAAUGCUUUUAUUUCUCAACAUAAUGUCCCUGUACAUUGAGGCACUUGUCCCAUCGUUUCACAAUCCCCUGAAAACCAGCGGCAUAAAAUUCUUCGGGCUAAUGUCGGAACCAGGCAUGUUCACAUGGCAAGGCCUACCUCAUAAUGCAUGACAGGUUAGAUUUUCACAAAGUCUGCAUGAUGGGUGCCGCGCAUGCUGACCCCACA